GGGAUUCUCCGACUUUGCUGGGCUUCGCAGUUCGUCUUCCUCUCUUCCAUUCGCAAGGAAGACAAAUGAUGAUUUGCUCUCUGUUAUUGCCUUCCAGACCUCUGUUGUGAGUAUCGUGGAAUUAAGCAAGAUUUCGUAGCAGCUAGUCUUGUUAAUAGAUUUUACAACUUUUUGUACAAGAGUAAUUGCAUUCAUAAUCGCUCAUUACAGAUAGUCGGCCCAAAGUAACAAUUUAUUAUUCGAGGCAAUAAUUUCUUGUAAUUUCAUUGCCUAAAAUAAAAAGUUAAUUUUCAAAUAACAAACUGCCAUGUAGGGUAAUUAUCGAUAGUGAACUACUAUGAAUACUAUUAUUCCUUGCGAUUCACCACGUAGAAUUGUGUAGUUAAACAUUGUUAGCCUCGAGACAGGUGCUUUGGCUUUAAUCCGGCUAAACUUUCUUGUACAGUACAGUACUUUGACUGAACUAUUUUAGUGAAAUUCAUGACUAAAGAGUAAAUAAAUAAGUUUUAGAAUAAAUAAUUUUUAUUAGUCAAAGUUGAAAAUAAAUUACUUAUUUAUUUAAUGUAACCCCUUUUUUCCUUAAAAGUAACUCAUUCAAAUAUGCUUGAAAAAAAUAGUUGUGUAAAAGUUCGUUCUAAAUUUUUUAAAGCUUAUCCAACCAUGCUCGAAUUCUUCACAUAUUUAUAAGCCCAGUCAUGAUUCUAAAAGUUCAGUUGUUUUGAUAUAGAUCUACAAUAAACGGAAUGGAAUGGCCAAAAAGGAUUCACACAUUUGGCCCAAAUUUAUUGGAAACACAUCUUAGUUUGUUGUGUUGUUGUCGAACUUAUAUCUUCAAUUAAAUAGGUUAAUCAGUGCCAAGCUUAAAAUAAGAAGAAUAAUGAAGAUUAAAAUGCUAAGCAAUCAAGUAAUGCCAGGCAUCAGAACAAAACAAGUGUUUUGAUUAUGAAAGAGAUGACUUUACUGAACAAUUACAUGCACAACUUAGGGGAUAAUGUACACAAUGGGGGUUGUACCAUAUCUUUGAACACUGUUUACUCGUAACCUACCAAUUCAAGUGUAGAAUGAGCCUUAUUGAACAUCUAAAUGGUAUAUGGUUCUGGUUUUUAAAUCAUUAAAGGAACUUAUAAGUUGGAAUUAAAGUGAUCAUAAAGCUGGUAGUAAAUUUGAAAUUUCAUUUUGAGUGCUAACAUCUGCUUGUUCGGUUUUGGUAUUUUUUGUUCAGGUUGGUGGAGACAAGAACAAGAGAGGAGUAGUCGAGGCCAAGCUGAAGGUGGCAAUUAAUGGUUUUGGAAGAAUUGGAAGGAACUUCUUGAGAUGCUGGCAUGGAAGGAAGGAUUCCCCUCUUGACAUCAUCGCUCUCAACGACACUGGUGGUGUCAAGCAAGCCUCUCACCUUCUCAAAUAUGACUCCACCCUGGGUAUCUUUGAAGCUGAUGUCAAACCUGUUGGCGAUGACGGCAUUUCUGUCGAUGGCAAAAUUGUUAAAGUCGUCUCCAGCCGCAACCCCGUCAACCUUCCCUGGAAGUAAUACUUCCUUCUUAUAUACAUAUUUUUCAUUGCAUUCUCAUACAUGCUCAGGACUAGAUAAUAUUGGAAAGUAAUAGACAAGAAAAAGAAAGUAAAAGCCUGUUUUUAUUGUACAGUCUAACCUUGUCCAGUAUUACAUACUAAACAUGCCUAUAUUAUCUUGUGAUGUAUUUAUCUCAAUCACCCUUUUUAGCCUCAUCAUACUGCAACUAUAAUCUACAGGAGUCAUGAAAACUUUGCUUCCUCGAGCAAAAGCUAUGUAUUUUCCGCCCUAAUAAUUGCUGUUUUCUUUGAACAAAUAAUUUCAUUUCCAG
rnacentral:lncRNA from 1 species